rnacentral:rRNA from 1 species
UACGGAGGGGGCUAGCGUUGUUCGGAAUUACUGGGCGUAAAGCGCACGUAGGCGGCUUUGUAAGUUAGAGGUGAAAGCCCAGGGCUCAACCCUGGAAUUGCCUUUAAGACAGCAUCGCUUGAACAUCGGAGAGGUAAGUGGAAUUCCGAGUGUAGAGGUGAAAUUCGUAGAUAUUCGGAAGAACACCAGUGGCGAAGGCGACUUACUGGACGAUUGUUGACGCUGAGGUGCGAAAGCGUGGGGAGCAAACAGG